rnacentral:rRNA from 1 species
UACAGAGGGGGCAAGCGUUGUUCGGAAUUAUUGGGCGUAAAGCGCGUGUAGGCGGCUUUGCAAGUCGGGUGUGAAAGCCCUCAGCUCAACUGAGGAAGUGCGCCCGAAACUGCAGAGCUUGAGUACCGGAGAGGAUGGCGGAAUUCCCCAAGUAGAGGUGAAAUUCGUAGAUAUGGGGAGGAACACCGGUGGCGAAGGCGGCCAUCUGGACGGAUACUGACGCUGAGACGCGAAAGCGUGGGGAGCAAACAGG